rnacentral:lncRNA from 1 species
AGGGCUGCCACACCAACCCUAGGCUGCCCACUCCCUGGCACACCUCUCGCCACCAGCCCAAACAGUUAUUGUGGUGAUGAUCCUUUUUAAGUACUAGAUGGUGCCAUUUCUACCAAACGUAAACAGGCUCCACAAAGCACAGCAUCAACGCGUGUCAGGCAGUGCACAGCAAGAGCUGAGGCAUUCGUGCAGCUGUUCUUCCCCUCUGCUGACUUUAUGUGGAGUAAAGGGCUACUCCAGCUGAGGAAAAAUGCCAAUAAAGGAGAUGAAAACAGCCAGAAAUUGUAUAUACUUAUCAUGUACAACAUGAUGCCCUGAAAUAUGUCUACACUACGGGAUGGCCAAAUUGAGGCAAUUAACAUAUGCAAGACCUCACAAACUUCAAAUUUUUUGUGGUGAGAACACUUAAAAUCCACAAAAAUUAGUAAUGUUCAGAAAUACGGAUUUACCUGAACACCUGUUUUUCUGGGACACCAACCUGUAGCAGUACUAGAAACAGCAAAUACGUCUAUGUGAAACCAUAAGUUUUAUGUACCCUAUCAACAAUAAAAA